rnacentral:rRNA from 1 species
GCAAGUCGAGCGAACGGACGAGAAGCUUGCUUCUCUGAUGUUAGCGGCGGACGGGUGAGUAACACGUGGAUAACCUACCUAUAAGACUGGGAUAACUUCGGGAAACCGGAGCUAAUACCGGAUAAUAUUUUGAACCGCAUGGUUCAAAAGUGAAAGACGGUCUUGCUGUCACUUAUAGAUGGAUCCGCGCUGCAUUAGCUAGUUGGUAAGGUAACGGCUUACCAAGGCAACGAUGCAUAGCCGACCUGAGAGGGUGAUCGGCCACACUGGAACUGAGACACGGUCCAGACUCCUACGGGAGGCAGCAGUAGGGAAUCUUCCGCAAUGGGCGAAAGCCUGACGGAGCAACGCCGCGUGAGUGAUGAAGGUCUUCGGAUCGUAAAACUCUGUUAUUAGGGAAGAACAUAUGUGUAAGUAACUGUGCACAUCUUGACGGUACCUAAUCAGAAAGCCACGGCUAACUACGUGCCAGCAGCCGCGGUAAUACGUAGGUGGCAAGCGUUAUCCGGAAUUAUUGGGCGUAAAGCGCGCGUAGGCGGUUUUUUAAGUCUGAUGUGAAAGCCCACGGCUCAACCGUGGAGGGUCAUUGGAAACUGGAAAACUUGAGUGCAGAAGAGGAAAGUGGAAUUCCAUGUGUAGCGGUGAAAUGCGCAGAGAUAUGGAGGAACACCAGUGGCGAAGGCGACUUUCUGGUCUGUAACUGACGCUGAUGUGCGAAAGCGUGGGGAUCAAACAGGAUUAGAUACCCUGGUAGUCCACGCCGUAAACGAUGAGUGCUAAGUGUUAGGGGGUUUCCGCCCCUUAGUGCUGCAGCUAACGCAUUAAGCACUCCGCCUGGGGAGUACGACCGCAAGGUUGAAACUCAAAGGAAUUGACGGGGACCCGCACAAGCGGUGGAGCAUGUGGUUUAAUUCGAAGCAACGCGAAGAACCUUACCAAAUCUUGACAUCCUUUGACAACUCUAGAGAUAGAGCCUUCCCCUUCGGGGGACAAAGUGACAGGUGGUGCAUGGUUGUCGUCAGCUCGUGUCGUGAGAUGUUGGGUUAAGUCCCGCAACGAGCGCAACCCUUAAGCUUAGUUGCCAUCAUUAAGUUGGGCACUCUAAGUUGACUGCCGGUGACAAACCGGAGGAAGGUGGGGAUGACGUCAAAUCAUCAUGCCCCUUAUGAUUUGGGCUACACACGUGCUACAAUGGACAAUACAAAGGGCAGCGAAACCGCGAGGUCAAGCAAAUCCCAUAAAGUUGUUCUCAGUUCGGAUUGUAGUCUGCAACUCGACUACAUGAAGCUGGAAUCGCUAGUAAUCGUAGAUCAGCAUGCUACGGUGAAUACGUUCCCGGGUCUUGUACACACCGCCCGUCACACCACGAGAGUUUGUAACACCCGAAGCCGGUGGAGUAACCUUUUAGGAGCU